UGUACUAUCCUUCUAUCCUGGAAAAAGAUCUAAGUAAAUUCAGAUAAAAAAAUAUUAGAGACGUUCAAGCCCACAAUUCGUGGCCCUUGGGGUUACCGGGGUGAGCGCGGGUCCAAAGGGGAAAACGGUGAUGAGGGUCUUAUGGGCCUAAAAGGUCCC